ensembl:miRNA
CCGUCCUGGCCCCGGCACCGUGCGCUCGGCUCUCUGUGGCACCAGAGCCGUGCCAGGAGGGCCACGGAGCGCGUGUGUCGCUGUGUGGACGUAUUUGGCUG